rnacentral:rRNA from 1 species
UACGUAGGGUGCGAGCGUUAAUCGGAAUUACUGGGCGUAAAGCGUGCGCAGGCGGUUCGUCGUGUCCGAUGUGAAAGCCCCGGGCUCAACCUGGGAAUGGCAUUGGAAACUGGCGGACUCGAGUGUGGCAGAGGGGGGUGGAAUUCCGCGUGUAGCAGUGAAAUGCGUAGAGAUGCGGAGGAACACCGAUGGCGAAGGCAGCCCCCUGGGCUAACACUGACGCU